GACGAACGCUGGCGGCGUGCUUUACACAUGCAAGUCGAACGAUGAUGAGUGCUUGCACUUUGAUUAGUGGCGAACGGGUGAGUAACACGUGAGUAACCUGCCUCAGACUCUGGGAUAAAUCCGGGAAACCGGGGCUAAUACUGGGUAUGACAUCUCCUCGCAUGUGGGGGUGUGGAAAGAUUUUUUGGUCUGGGAUGGGAUCGCGGCCUAUCAGCUUGUUGGUGGGGUGAUGGCCUACCAAGGCGAGGACGGGUAGCCGGCCUGAGAGGGUGACCGGCCGCACUGGGACUGGGACACGGACCAGACGCCUACGGGAGGCAGCGGUGGGGAGUAGUGCACAAUGGGCGCAAGCCUGAUGCAGCGACGCCGCGUGGGGGAGGACGGCCUUCGGGUUGUAAACCUCUUUCAGCAGGGAAGAAGAGUAAGUGACGGUACCUGCAGAAGAAGCGCCGGCUAACUACGUGCCAGCAGCCGCGGUAAAAC
rnacentral:rRNA from 1 species